GGCGCCGUAGCUUAGACGGCAAUGCGCUUGUUUAAUAAAUAGGAGGUCUCGAGUUCGAAUCUCGCUGCCGCCU
rfam:Glossina fuscipes fuscipes unplaced genomic scaffold Scaffold107, whole genome shotgun sequence.